rnacentral:rRNA from 1 species
UACAGAGGUCUCAAGCGUUGUUCGGAUUCAUUGGGCGUAAAGGGUGCGUAGGCGGCGUGGUAAGUCGGAUGUGAAAUCUCGGAGCUUAACUCCGAAACUGCAUUCGAUACUGCCGUGCUUGAGGACUGGAGAGGAGACUGGAAUUUACGGUGUAGCGGUGAAAUGCGUAGAUAUCUGGAGGAACACCGGUGGCGAAGGCGGCAUCCUGGACCAAUUCUGACACUGAGGAGCGAAAGCCAGGGGAGCAAACGGG